AUACGUAGGUGACAAGCGUUAUCCGGAUUUACUGGGCGUAAAGGGCGUGUAGGCGGUCUUGCAAGUCAGAAGUGAAAUUCCUGAGCUCAACUCGGGCGCUGCUUCUGAAACUGCAGGACUUGAGUGCUGGAGGGGAUAGCGGAAUUCCUAGUGGAGCGGUAAAAUGCGCAGAUAUUAGGAAGAACACCGGUGGCGAAGGCGGCUAGCUGGACAGUAACUGACGCUGAGGCGCGAAAGCGUGGGGAGCAAACAGGAUUAGAUACCCGGGUAGUCCACGCCGUAAACGAUGAAUACUAGGUGUAGGGGGUAUCGACUCCCUCUGUGCCGCAGUUAACACAAUAAGUAUUCCGCCUGGGGAGUACGGCCGCAAGGUUGAAACUUAAAGGAAUUGACGGGG
rnacentral:rRNA from 1 species